GUCCUCGCUUCAGCAGCACAUAUACUUACAUUGAAAGGAUAUAGAGAAGAUUAGCAUGGCCCUUACACAAGGAUGACAUGCAAAUUUGUGAAGCAUUCCAUAUUUUU